CGGUCUGUUAAGUCAGAUGUGAAAUCCCCGGGCUUAACCUGGGAACUGCAUUUGAAACUGGCAGGCUAGAGUCUCGUAGAGGGGGGUAGAAUUCCAGGUGUAGCGGUGAAAUGCGUAGAGAUCUGGAGGAAUACCGGUGGCGAAGGCGGCCCCCUGGACGAAGACUGACGCUCAGGUACGAAAGCGUGGGGAGCAAACAGGAUUAGAUACCCUGGUAGUCCACGCUGUAAACGAUGUCGAUUUGAAGGUUGUGGUCUUGAGCCGUGGCUUUCGGAGCUAACGCGUUAAAUCGACCGCCUGGGGAGUACGGCCGCAAGGUUAAAACUCAAAUGAAUUGACGGGGGCCCGCACAAGCGGUGGAGCAUGUGGUUUAAUUCGAUGCAACGCGAAGAACCUUACCUACUCUUAACAUCCAGAGAACUGAGCAGAGAUGCUUAGGUGCCUUCGGGAACUGUGAGACAGGUGCUGCAUGGCUGUCGUCAGCUCGUGUUGUGAAAUGUUGGGUUAAGUCCCGCAACGAGCGCAACCCUUAUCCUUUGUUGCCAGCGAUUCGGUCGGGAACUCAAAGGAGACUGCCGGUGAUAAACCGGAGGAAGGUGGGGAUGACGUCAAGUCAUCAUGGCCCUUACGAGUAGGGCUACACACGUGCUACAAUGGCGCAUACAAAGAGAAGCGAUCUCGCGAGAGUCAGCGGACCUCAUAAAGUGCGUCGUAGUCCGGAUUGGAGUCUGCAACUCGACUCCAUGAAGUCGGAAUCGCUAGUAAUCGUGGAUCAGAAUGCCACGGUGAAUACGUUCUCGGGCCUUGUACACACCGCCCGUCACACCAUGGGAGUGGGUUGCAAAAGAAGUAGGUAGCUUAACCUUAGGGAGGGCGUUUACCACUUUGUGAUUCAUGACUGGGGUGAAGUCGUAACAAGGUAACC
rnacentral:rRNA from 1 species